rnacentral:rRNA from 1 species
UACGGAGGGCGCAAGCGUUGUUCGGAAUCACUGGGCGUAAAGCGCGUGUAGGCGGCCGGGCAAGUCGGAUGUGAAAUCCCGAGGCUCAACCUCGGAACUGCAUUCGAAACUGCUUGGCUUGAGUCCCGGAGAGGAUGGCGGAAUUCCCGGUGUAGGGGUGAAAUCCGUAGAUAUCGGGAGGAACACCAGUGGCGAAGGCGGCCAUCUGGACGGUGACUGACGCUGAGACGCGAAAGCGUGGGGAGCAAACAGG